CACAAGACAGGUGAAUGCCUUCAUCAUGACUGCCAGAGAGGGAGGAGGCCAACCUGGCACCACCAUGGAGGUCCUCAAAUCUACCACCCUGGCAGAGGCGAGCUGUGAGAUGGCCCUGGCUUUUGUGGGACCACCUUCUGAAGGUCAUCUGGAACUGGAUGAGAAGUGCUCAAGGAUAUAAGAUGAGAAACAGCCUUAAAAAGGUGAAGUAAUUUGACCAAGGUAUAGGCAAAACAGUGGAGCCAAUAUUUGAACACGAGUCUGUCUAAAGUGGCCGUAUAUGAAAAGCAGGUUCCCCUGAUCUGCCUGGGCAGUUUCAUCCCUGCAGAGCUGGGAUGAAUGACAAAUUCAAAACCUCUCUUUACACGUGGAUUUGAACAAGAAAUCUCCAGGAAGCAGGUUUGAAGAGAUGGGAUCCAGACACCUCCUAAGCCUCUUGUUUUCAAAUUUGUCUGCAUGUUGGAAUCACCUGGCCAUCUUUUUAAAACUGCUGAUGCCUGUAUGUGCCCCCUCCUCCCAAGAUUCUGAUUUCAUUGGCUCAGGGUGAAGCCUCAGCAUCAUAAUUUUUUUUUUUUAAUAGAGUCUUGCCCUGUUGCCCAGGCUGGAGUGCAGUGGUGCAAUCUCGGCUCACUGCAACCUCUGCCUCCCAGGUUCAGGCAAUUCUCAUGCCCCAGCCUCCUGAGUAGCUGGAAAUGCAGGUGCACACCACCACACCCAGCUAAUUUUUUGUAUUUUUAGUGGAGAUAGGGUUUCACCAUGUUGACCAGGCUGAUCUCGAACUCCUGAGCUCAGGCAAUCCACCUGCCUCAGACUCCCAAAGUGCUGAGAUUACAGGCGUAGCCACCACACCUGGCCAGCAUCAUGAGUUUUAAAGGCUUCCCAGGUGAGUCUGAUAUGUGGCAAAGUCUGAGAACCACCAACCUAGGCAAUCUAAUCAGAAAAGAUUUCCACAGAUGUACUGAUGAUAUUAACUAUUGGUACUUGGGGUACGUUUUAAUUAAGUUAUAGCUAGGAAUGAUAAUGGCUAAUGUGAAUCACUAUGAAAGAUAUUUUUUAAACAAAGACUAUAGACUGAAAAAUAAAAAGAUAUGCAAAUUAUGCAAAAGCAAACACAAAACAAUGUUAUAGUGUGUGUGUAUGUGUGCGUGUGCACAUGUGCACCUGACUGUAACUGCACACUAUAAGCACUCUGAGAUUGGGCUGGUUGUCAAUGAAGACUUCAGCAUUACAUGUAAGAGAAUAUAUUGAUGUGUUACUUUGUAAUUAUAAAUAAAGUAGAUUUUAUAAUUCAUUGUUUUGGGUUUGUUUCUAAAAGAGAUUAUUCCUUUUGGGCCAUAGCCUCCAGGUGGAGAAAGGAGACUGCACUAAGAAUGGGCCGAGUCAUCAGACAGCUGAAGAUAAUAUAGGAAAAUGGAAAUAAACAAGGAGUAACUUAAUUUUAUCCCAGACUUUGGCAUACGCCCAAAACAAGAAGUCAUUCUCUCUCCUAAAAGAAGGGGCACUAUUUGUACCUUUAGAGACUGUCUUGUUCUGAAUAAUUUUUCCCAUCUGUUUUGUGGGAGAGAUACAAGCUGAUUUUUCCCCCAACCAUCAUGGAGAUUUUAUUUUAAUUCAGGCACAAUUGAAGUGACUAAACAAAGUGCAGGAAAACUUCUUGAGGUUGCAAGAGUGAGCAAAAAUAUGGCAAAGGGACCUUAAUAUAUAUACAGGUAAGAUCAUAAAUUAUAAGGAAGUUUUCUAAAAUGAUUGCACAGAAUGAUGGGUUCUGGGAUAUUCGUUAUUGCCAAGAAAGAGUACCUUGAAGACAUUGUAGACUACAGAACUGGAAGUGGCCCAAAGAUGCAUAAGAAAAAUAAUAAUAAUAACAAAAGUCACUUAUUGAGUGGUUAUAAUAUUCCAGCUUACCAUUUUAAGCACCUUGCUUUAAUUAUUUUAUUUUAUCCUUAUAAGGCAAUAUACUAUGAUCAGCCUGAUUUUACAAAUGAAUAUGAGAUUAAAUAAUUUAUCCAAGGUCACAUGUCUCAUAAGAGACAGUGCGGUGCCCUAUCAAGGCACUUAACCUCUGGGCUAACCACUGCUCUUAGCAGUAAGGGUGAUGUUUCCCCAAGUAGACACUAGAAACAACAGGCAUGAUACCAGCAACAAUGGCAAAAAGAUUCCAUGGUCAGAUUUACAGGGUAAAACUCUUACUAAGGACAUGUCUGUAAUAUGCUAAUGUAAAUUAAGAAAAUAAAGGAGAUGGCGAUCACAUGAUUUGACUUUAGAGUUUUAUUUUUACAGAUGAAAGUGUGAAGUAUGCUGUGGAAAAUGCUGUUUCAGGUUGGUUUCCUUAUGGAGACGAUAAAAUGAAUUUUCUGGGAGGGGUAAUGAUUGAGAGGAUCUGGUGGUGAUGGACCUGCAUGACCCUAAAGAGACUCAGCUGGAGGGAGG
rnacentral:lncRNA from 10 species